rnacentral:lncRNA from 1 species
CAAACACUGGUCACCAAGUCACGGAAAAGGUUGUGUGAGCCCCUUGAGGCAUUUAUCCAGCACUGUUUCGGACAAAUCUCUAUUUCAAUCUAUUCCUAUAUGUUAGUUAUUGAAAAACAAUAGACAAUCACAAAAACAAGUUGACAUUUUUGUGUUCCUUAAGCCCAGUCAUGAAGGGCCCUCGUGACUGGGCCUCAUGCCAAACAACUUGUUACAAAAAGAGCUAGGGUCCCAGACUGCGCCGAAGCUUCAUGAGACCGAUCCUCGUCUGUGGACAGAGGAGUAGCUGACUCUGAAGCCCAGGCUGUUGCUAUCCAGUCUGGUGGUGAAUCCUCCACAGUCUGUUUAGAGCAAUUGGACGAAGUAUAUUUUUGUGAGCAAAUUUACCUUUCUCUCUGAAUUCUCCAAAAUUCAGAAACCAGGAAGUCUUUAAGACAGUUAUAGCAGGGAGCAGUUACAAUGUAAACAGAGGUGGUGCCUUGACAUUAUUGGUUCACCAACAGAGCAGAACUGCCUCAGCCAUCAAUAAUAAUUCAACGCAUCAGGAUGAGGCCUACGCAUGGGCCACAGAGGAUAUGUAAUGACUUAAGAUACCAACUCCACAUUCUGUGGUAAGAGAUGAAGAUCCAGGAAAUGUAUGGACACCUAUAGCCUGAAGAAUAUUGUCAGAAAAAAACACUGGGAUCUGGAAGCGAAAAGGAAACAUAGAAAACGAGACAGGAAGGUGAAGAAAGUUGAAGAUAAACUUUCUUUUUCACAAUGUUUUUAUGGACAAGUUCAGCCCAUAAAUCAAAAAUUACCUUUAUGGAUGAAAUAUUAGUUAAGUCAAGAUCAUCUUUUUCAUUUCCUACAUGCAGGUUGAAUCUCAUUUAUGGAGUGAGAUGUCAAAUAACAACAAAAAAUGCACUUAAUUUGCAUAAAGAUGCUUGUAAGGUAACAUUGCUCCACACUUUGCUUUAUUCACAUCAUUAGAGGAAAUAUCUUAUUCCUCUAGCUGUUUCUGGCCAUGGCUCAAGGAAUUAAAAACUUCCAUUCAUUCCUUCAGACAGUACAGUUAACAAGAGGAUAACUUUUUUUAUUAUCUCUGUCCUUCUCCCUCAGGAAGCAGAGAAUUAUCAGAUUGGUGAGAGAAAGGAAAUAAAGGUCUGAACAUGUGUCUCAAGUCACCUCUUUUGGGAGCACUCUGUUCUCAGUUUAUUUUAAUUCUGUUUCUCAAUUUAAUGAGUUUACUAGAGCAGGGUCCACUAUUACCCUGUGGAGAUCCUUAAUGAUACAUGGAUAUGUUUAAUUCUGGGAAUAAAGUAGUUAAACUGGCUAGUGAUUAUGCCACAUUGUUAGAGUCAUCUUUGUCAAUAAGAAAGUUGUUCAUAUUUAUGACAUCUGUAUCCAUUUCUUCAGAAGUGUGACUAUUAUUCAUAUAUCCCCAAUACACACAAAAUAUAUAGUUUUAACUAAAUUUUUAAUCUGUUACAUAUUUUUCUAGGUUACUAGCUAGAGACAUCCUGGUUGUUUCCAAUUUGUUGUAAACUGGAAAUUUGAUGCUAAACAAGUAGUGUUAUGACAAGCCUUCUUAUUCAUAACUUGACAUGCUUUUGCCAGUAUAUUUUAGAUGAAAUUUUGAGAUUAUGGUGGAGUCAAAUCAUAUGAACACUUUAAAUUUUGCUCCGUUAUUACCACAUUCCUGUGCAAAAGUGACACCAAUUUACAAUGCCAUAUUGUAUAGACGUGUUUCAUGGUACCUUAAAACAAUUACAAUGUUAAUAACAAAGAUAAGUAAUCACAGAGCACUAUGUCAGAUAUAAUACUAAUUUAAAAAGUUUGAAAUAUAAUGACAAUUAACAAAAUGUGACUAGGAGGCUCAAAGUGAGCACAUGCUGUUGGUAAAAUGAUGCUAACAGACUUGCUUAAUGUAGGGUUGCCACAAACAGAAGUAAAAAGUGCUUAUUUGCCGACAACCUUGCCAAAUAUUGACUCUAUAAAAUGGUUUAAAAUUAUUUAUAUUACAGAUACUUUGCUUUGCUAUUUCUAAUUCUCUUAUUUUGUAAACAGUGUUAUUUUAGCCACAUAUGUAUUUCUUUCGCUCUGGAUUUCUCAUUUCAUUUUAAUUUUGUGUGUAUGUCCUUGAUGGAUUCUUUGAAUUUUUGUUUUCAUUGCAUCUUUCUGUAUAAUUAUUCCUGGGAUAUUGUGUCAUUUUUAAAAAUUGCAUUUCGUAGGAUGGAUUCCUAAUACUUUCUUUGCAUGUGCUUUUAUGUUAUUUUAUUUCCUUGUCUUAUUACUAAAAAGUGAUUUUAUACUUGCCAUGAUUUUCAGGUUUCCCAGCUUAAGAUGGACAGUUCUUACACUUUGAUGUAGCAUGGGCAAAUUUGUCUCUACUUUUUCACAUCAAGCUAUAGUUUAAGCAUUGAGUUUUGAAAUGUGCCCACUUUUUCCCUAGCCUGAGUGUGUAGAGAAUAAGCAGAUGAGCUCAAUUGGUGUGCAAUUUAGGUAAAAGACCUGGACUCUUUCUCUUGCCUAAAAUUUUAUUAAGUAUCUAAUCCCAUAGCUUGCUCUCUUUCCAGGAGGCAGUUUUACUGCCGCCAGGGAAAUAGCCUUGCUUUCAAAUCUCUUCCUUAAUUCAGCGCAGAGCCACCAAGGCUUUGCUUGUAUCAAUGAGCCAUCUCAUGUACCUUCAUCCCCCAUUUCACCAGUCUUUUCCUGGCACUUUCUCCCUCUAUUCCUCACUCUAAGACUGAGUGGGGAAUCAAUAUUUGGCUGUAAAGGAGUAUAUGGUGUCUUACCUUGUGUGCUGAAACAAUGUAUUUACUCAAAGUGUUAUGGAUUUUCUUUUUUCUCUACAUUAUGCCAAGACAUAAAUUCUGAGAGUGUUUAUGAUGGUGCCUCUUUUCCCCUCUGCUUUCUUUCCAAGUUAGAGACAUCAAAAUAAUAAGCCUUAACCAUUUUCCUGUUUUUAAAAGAAAUAGUUAAUUUUUAUGGGAAUUAUUAGGUGUCUCCCGGGCUACUCAUGUAAAUCCUCAUUUUAUCUGUUUUUAAAUUGAGUUAUUCAUGAGAUGCUUUCUGCAUUUUGUUUUUUAGGAAAUUUUAGGAAACAAAGAUAAAUGUCAUAUGGUCUUUCAAAUGUCAUAUGGUCUCUCAAAUAUCAUAUGGUCUCACAUCCCCUCCAAACUAUUUUAAAUAUGGCCUGACUUUGGGAAUGAAGGCUUUACUUGGACAUGGAUAUGACUGUAGGCAUUUUCCUUUAUAUUCCUUUAUAACUUACUGUUAUGCAUCUACUAGCAGCUGUUAAGGUCACUCCAAAACUGACAUUCUCUCCCCAUGUUUGCUUCCACUAAAACCCAUCUGGUGAUGGAACUGUGCAUACCUUCAUCAAGUAUUUUGAAAACAAAACAAAACAAAAUAAGCAAAAACAAAGUAAACAAAAGACAGAUAUCUGAAUCAGACAGAAUUAGUUUUGGAUCCCAGUCUGUCACCAGUUACUUGUUUAAAAUGGAGCAGGUUACUUAACAACUCUGAGAAAUAUUUACUUAAAACACUCAAGUAUAAUAUGUAUUUUGCAGACAUUUUGUGAUAAGUAAAUGAGGUAUGUGUGCAUGUGUGGGCUUGUGUAUAAAAUAAACUCUCUUGAUUGGCCUAUAUAACUGUCUUUUUCAUUCAGGAUGAAUGGUGGGUAACUUUUUUACUCACUCAAGCUACAUCGUAUUCUAUUCAGAUUAAUCUAAUUUCUUAUCUGAAAUAGUUAAAAUAUGUGAUAUACUUUGACAAAUAUCAAGGUAAUAAACAUUUGAAAAAGGACACAUUUUUCUCUUCCUUAUUUCCUUAAGCCAAUUCAUUCUUCUACUAUAUUUUAUUUUACAUAAACGUUACUUUAAUUUUAUAUAUGCACUAUGCAAUCUAAAAAGUACAAUUGCCUGUGAUGUCCAUAUACUUUACCUUUCUUAAGAGAGGUACAUUCGUUUAAUUUAUUCUUAUAAUCUAGUUGAUAUGAGUAAAUCUUUUAAAUAACUAGGGGCGAAUUUUGCUCCAAUCCACCUAUAUGAAAAUAUUUAUCAUUUUUAAAAAGGCAAUUCUCUCAGCUUAGACAAAAUAAAACCCAUCUUUACAAAAGAUACAAAAAAAAAUUCGUUGGAUGUGGUGGCAUGUGCCUGUGGUCCCAGCUACUCAGAAGGCUGAGUGGAGACGAGAAGAUCACUUGCACCCACAUGGGUUGAGGCUCCAGUGAGCCAAAUUCUUGCCUCUGCACUACAGCCUGGGUGACAGUGAGAUCUGCAGAAAGAUGAGAUGCUCUUCCAAGCAAGUAAUAGAUCUUUGGGUUGCAGAUAUUGGCAGAACAUUGGCAUAUUCUGGGACCUCAAGCAUUUGAUACCCAAGAAAAUAUAAUUUUAAUGUAUGCUUUCUAAUGUCUCUGCGGAUAUCACCAUGAGGUGCUAACUUUUUAUAUCAGAUAUUAUAACUUUAUUAUUGUAUUAUACCAAGUUGACAUUAUUGCUAUAUUUUCUUUUAUUGAUUUCAAUACUAUAAUUAUAUGUUUGCAUCCAGUAAGAAUAAAUAUGGGA